UACGUAGGGGGCAAGCGUUGUCCGGAAUCAUUGGGCGUAAAGCGCGUGUAGGCGGCCAGAAAAGUCCGCUGUGAAAACUCGAGGCUCAACUUCGAGCUGUCGGUGGAAACUUUCUGGCUAGAGUCCGGAAGAGGAGAAUGGAAUUCCUGGUGUAGCGGUGAAAUGCGCAGAUAUCAGGAAGAACACCCGUGGCUAAGGCGGCUCUCUAGUACGGUACUGACGCUGAGACGCGAAAGCGUGGGGAGCGAACAGG
rnacentral:rRNA from 1 species